AUUGAACGCUGGCGGCAGGCCUAACACAUGCAAGUCGAGCGGAUGAAGGGAGCUUGCUCCUGGAUUCAGCGGCGGACGGGUGAGUAAUGCCUAGGAAUCUGCCUGGUAGUGGGGGAUAACGUCCGGAAACGGGCGCUAAUACCGCAUACGUCCUGAGGGAGAAAGUGGGGGAUCUUCGGACCUCACGCUAUCAGAUGAGCCUAGGUCGGAUUAGCUAGUUGGUGGGGUAAAGGCCUACCAAGGCGACGAUCCGUAACUGGUCUGAGAGGAUGAUCAGUCACACUGGAACUGAGACACGGUCCAGACUCCUACGGGAGGCAGCAGUGGGGAAUAUUGGACAAAGGGCGAAAGCCUGAUCUAGCCAUGCCGCGUGUGUGAAGAAGGUCUUCGGAUUGUAAAGCACUUUAAGUUGGGAGGAAGGGCAGUAAGUUAAUACCUUGCUGUUUUGACGUUACCAACAGAAUAAGCACCGGCUAACUUCGUG
rnacentral:rRNA from 1 species